rnacentral:rRNA from 1 species
ACCGCGUGGGGGAUGAAUGCCUUCGGGUUGUAAACCCCUUUUCUGGGGAAAGAAUAAGGACGGGAGGAAAUGCCAGUCCGAUGACGGUACCCCAGGAAUAAGCAUCGGCAAACUUCGUGCCAGCAGCCGCGGUAAGACGAAGGAUGCGAGCGUUAUCCGGAAUUACUGGGCGUAAAGGGCGUCUAGGCGGUCUAGUAAGUCAUUUGUGAAAUCCCUCGGCUCAACCGAGGAGGGUCUUGUGAUACUGCUGGACUUGGGUGUAGGAGAGGAGAGUGGAACUCACAGAGUAGCGGUGGAAUGCGUAGAUACUGUGAGGUACCCCGAUGGCGAAGGCAACUCUCUGGCCUGCCACCGACGCUGAAGCGCGAAAGCGUGGGGAGCAAAGGGGAUUAGAUACCCCCGUAGUCCACGCCCCAAACGAUGUUCACUUGGUGUCGGCCGCAUAUACUGGUCGGUGCCGAAGCUAACGCGUUAAGUGAACCGCCUGAGGAGUACGGCCGCAAGGCUAAAACUCAAGAGAAUU